UCUCCGUUGGUGAACCAGCGGAGGGAUCAUUACAGGACUCGCAAGACACCUACAACCCUGUGAACUUAACUAUAAGCACGUUGCUUCGGCGGGUGUCUCGGAGGGGGUUCUCCCUCCCCGAGACGCUAAACCCGCCGGCAGCCUACUAUACUCUGUCUCUUUGCGUUGGCAUCUCGAGUACAAUCAAACAAGUUAAAACUUUCAACAACGGAUCUCUUGGUUCUG
rnacentral:misc_RNA from 1 species